AGAGCAUUGAGAGGACCUUUUCCUAAUACAAGAGGACCGGGAAGGAUGCACCUCUGGUGUACCAAUUAUUGUGCCUACGAUAAAUGCUGGGUAGCCAAGUGCAGAGCGGAUAACUGAUGAAAGCAUCUAAGCAGUAAGCCCACCCCAAGAUGAGUUCUCU
rnacentral:ncRNA from 1 species